rnacentral:lncRNA from 1 species
UAGCUUCUAUUAUUAUUUUAUUAAACUAUCGCAUACCAUAUUAUAUGCUCACUGUGUAUAUCUACUCAUGUGAAGUCCAACAAAAUUAGAUUUUUCUAUUUUAUUAUUUUUCUGUGAUUUACUAUGAUUUUUCGAAGAUAUAGCUGAAAGGUCCUAAUAUGGCUAGAGGGGGGGUGAAUAGCCUAUUAAGAAAUUCUACAAACUCACUAGAGCAAGAGGUUAGUAAAUAACAAAGCGAAGCUUUUUGCUCUAGCUCUAAAAGGGGUGUUUGCAAGCCACCUAUCCAACAAUUCUAGUUGUUAAGAUCACUAGGCACACAAGAGCUAUGUCACUACUUACACUAGAGAGCUACCUAAAGUUUCUAUAUAAGUAAGUAAGCUACUCUAGUUUGCGGGAAUGUAAGAGAGAAGGUUUGAUCUUUAUACCACCGCGUAGAGGGGAUGAACCAAUCAAUAAAAUGAAGUCUAAUCACCGG